UACAGAGGUCUCAAGCGUUGUUCGGAUUCAUUGGGUGUAAAGGGUGCGUAGGCGGCGCCGUAAGUCGGAUGUGAAAUCUCAGGGCUCAACCCUGAAACUGCAUUCGAUACUGCGGUGCUCGAGGACUCGAGAGGAGAUUGGAAUUCACGGUGUAGCAGUGAAAUGCGUAGAUAUCGUGAGGAAGACCAGUGGCGAAGGCGGAUCUCUGGAGAGUUCCUGACGCUGAGGCACGAAGGCCAGGGGAGCAAACGGG
rnacentral:rRNA from 1 species